CUCAUUGCUGAUUCACCUCCUAUUAAGCCAUAGGUCAAGUCAUGUAUAGUUUUUUGUUUUGUUUGUUCUUGACAUUUAGUAUUGUGCAUUUCCUGUGGUUUUAUCUGCAAUAAGGACUUAGAACAGUUGUGCUCAAAUAUUGAGGCAGCACAAUAGACACUCUGAUGUUAUGGGACCACCCAAUAUGACAUGACUCUAUACAAGACAGUCUACCAGAUGGAGUCAGCACUAAGCCCUAACAAGCUCUACAGAACCAUACCUACUCCUAUAGAACACAUAUGGGAGUGAGGUUUAUAAUUUAUAUUCUGCCAAUUCCCCUACUGGGUCCUAAUCCAACUGUAAGGAAUAAUGUAGUUUCCUUUAUUUGAAGUAAUAUGAAGGAAUCUUUA